rnacentral:tRNA from 2 species
GACCUUGUGGCGCAACGGUAGCGCGUCUGACUACUGAUCAGAAGGUUGCGUGUUCAAAUCACGUCAGGGUCA